CCCAUGGCAAAUACCAACAGGGCACCGAAAACCUUGGACACUCGUAAAGAACACCUUAAGUCCGAAAUCACUGCUAAUUUAGCGGCCGCCCUUGGCGAUUUG